AGAGUUUGAUCAUGGCUCAGAUUGAACGCUGGCGGCAGGCCUAACACAUGCAAGUCGAACGGUAACAGGAAUCAGCUUGCUGAUUCGCUGACGAGUGGCGGACGGGUGAGUAAUGUCUGGGAAACUGCCUGAUGGAGGGGGAUAACUACUGGAAACGGUAGCUAAUACCGCAUAAUGUCGCAAGACCAAAGAGGGGGACCUUCGGGCCUCUUGCCAUCGGAUGUGCCCAGAUGGGAUUAGCUAGUAGGUGGGGUAACGGCUCACCUAGGCGACGAUCCCUAGCUGGUCUGAGAGGAUGACCAGCCACACUGGAACUGAGACACGGUCCAGACUCCUACGGGAGGCAGCAGUGGGGAAUAUUGCACAAUGGGCGCAAGCCUGAUGCAGCCAUGCCGCGUGUAUGAAGAAGGCCUUCGGGUUGUAAAGUACUUUCAGCGGGGAGGAAGGGAGUAAAGUUAAUACCUUUGCUCAUUGACGUUACCCGCAGAAGAAGCACCGGCUAACUCCGUGCCAGCAGCCGCGGUAAUACGGAGGGUGCAAGCGUUAAUCGGAAUUACUGGGCGUAAAGCGCACGCAGGCGGUUUGUUAAGUCAGAUGUGAAAUCCCCGGGCUCAACCUGGGAACUGCAUCUGAUACUGGCAAGCUUGAGUCUCGUAGAGGGGGGUAGAAUUCCAGGUGUAGCGGUGAAAUGCGUAGAGAUCUGGAGGAAUACCGGUGGCGAAGGCGGCCCCCUGGACGAAGACUGACGCUCAGGUGCGAAAGCGUGGGGAGCAAACAGGAUUAGAUACCCUGGUAGUCCACGCCGUAAACGAUGUCGACUUGGAGGUUGUGCCCUUGAGGCGUGGCUUCCGGAGCUAACGCGUUAAGUCGACCGCCUGGGGAGUACGGCCGCAAGGUUAAAACUCAAAUGAAUUGACGGGGGCCCGCACAAGCGGUGGAGCAUGUGGUUUAAUUCGAUGCAACGCGAAGAACCUUACCUGGUCUUGACAUCCACGGAAGUUUUCAGAGAUGAGAAUGUGCCUUCGGGAACCGUGAGACAGGUGCUGCAUGGCUGUCGUCAGCUCGUGUUGUGAAAUGUUGGGUUAAGUCCCGCAACGAGCGCAACCCUUAUCCUUUGUUGCCAGCGGUCCGGCCGGGAACUCAAAGGAGACUGCCAGUGAUAAACUGGAGGAAGGUGGGGAUGACGUCAAGUCAUCAUGGCCCUUACGACCAGGGCUACACACGUGCUACAAUGGCGCAUACAAAGAGAAGCGACCUCGCGAGAGCAAGCGGACCUCAUAAAGUGCGUCGUAGUCCGGAUUGGAGUCUGCAACUCGACUCCAUGAAGUCGGAAUCGCUAGUAAUCGUGGAUCAGAAUGCCACGGUGAAUACGUUCCCGGGCCUUGUACACACCGCCCGUCACACCAUGGGAGUGGGUUGCAAAAGAAGUAGGUAGCUUAACCUUCGGGAGGGCGCUUACCACUUUGUGAUUCAUGACUGGGGUGAAGUCGUAACAAGGUAACCGUAGGGGAACCUGCGGUUG
rnacentral:rRNA from 1 species